rnacentral:rRNA from 1 species
GAUGAACGCUAGCGGCAGGCCUAACACAUGCAAGUCGAGGGGUAGAGGAAGCUUGCUUCCUUGAGACCGGCGCACGGGUGCGUAACGCGUAUGCAAUCUACCUUUUACAGAGGGAUAGCCCAGAGAAAUUUGGAUUAAUACCUCAUAGUAUAUAUCAUUCGCAUGUUUGGUAUAUUAAAGUUCCAACGGUAAAAGAUGAGCAUGCGUCCCAUUAGUUAGUUGGUAAGGUAACGGCUUACCAAGACGAUGAUGGGUAGGGGUCCUGAGAGGGAGAUCCCCCACACUGGAACUGGGACACGGACCAGACUCCUACGGGGGGCAGCAGUGAGGAAUAGUGGUCAAUGGACGCAAGUCUGAACCAGCCAUGCCGCGGGCAGGAAGACGGUCCUAUGGAUUGUAAACUGCUUUUGUACGGGAAGAAACACUCCUACGUGUAGGAGCCUGACGGUACCGUAAGAAUAAGGAUCGGCUAACUCCGUGCCAGCAGCCGCCGUAAGAC